UUUUUGUUGAUUUUUGUUGAUUUUUUUUUUUUUGUUGAUUUUUGUUCCUUGUUUUUGUUCGAAUGACUUCCAUGGAAGAAGCAGGAGGAAGGUC
rnacentral:ribozyme from 13 species